UGAGUUUGAUCCUGGCUCAGGACGAACGCUGGCGGCGUGCCUAAUACAUGCAAGUCGAGCGAGCUUGCCUAGAUGAUUUUAGUGCUUGCACUAAAUGAAACUAGAUACAAGCGAGCGGCGGACGGGUGAGUAACACGUGGGUAACCUGCCCAAGAGACUGGGAUAACACCUGGAAACAGAUGCUAAUACCGGAUAACAACACUAGACGCAUGUCUAGAGUUUGAAAGAUGGUUCUGCUAUCACUCUUGGAUGGACCUGCGGUGCAUUAGCUAGUUGGUAAGGUAACGGCUUACCAAGGCAAUGAUGCAUAGCCGAGUUGAGAGACUGAUCGGCCACAUUGGGACUGAGACACGGCCCAAACUCCUACGGGAGGCAGCAGUAGGGAAUCUUCCACAAUGGACGAAAGUCUGAUGGAGCAACGCCGCGUGAGUGAAGAAGGGUUUCGGCUCGUAAAGCUCUGUUGGUAGUGAAGAAAGAUAGAGGUAGUAACUGGCCUUUAUUUGACGGUAAUUACUUAGAAAGUCACGGCUAACUACGUGCCAGCAGCCGCGGUAAUACGUAGGUGGCAAGCGUUGUCCGGAUUUAUUGGGCGUAAAGCGAGUGCAGGCGGUUCAAUAAGUCUGAUGUGAAAGCCUUCGGCUCAACCGGAGAAUUGCAUCAGAAACUGUUGAACUUGAGUGCAGA
rnacentral:rRNA from 1 species